rnacentral:rRNA from 1 species
UACGUAGGGGGGCAAGCGUUGUCCGGAAUCAUUGGGCGUAAAGAGCGUGUAGGCUGUUCGGUAAGUCUGCCGUGAAAACCUGAGGCUCAACCUCGGGCGUGCGGUGGAUACUGCCGGGCUAGAGGACGGUAGAGGCGAGUGGAAUUCCCGGUGUAGCGGUGAAAUGCGUAGAUAUCGGAAGGAACAUCAGUGGCGAAAGCGACUUCCUGGACCAAUACUGACGCUCAUGUGCGAAAGCGUGGGGAGCAAACAGG